UACGUAGGGACCGAGCGUUGUCCGGAUUCAUUGGGCGUAAAGAGCUCGUAGGCGGCCACUCAAGUCGAAUGUGAAACCUCGAGGCUUAACCUCGAGCCUGCAUUCGAUACUGGGCGGCUAGAGUCUGGUAGGGGAGACUGGAAUUCCUGGUGUAGCGGUGGAAAUGCGCAGAUAUCAGGAGGAACACCUGCGGCGAAGGCGGGUUGCUGGGCCGACACUGACGCUGAGGCGCGAAAGCUAGGGGAGCGAACGGG
rnacentral:rRNA from 1 species